rnacentral:rRNA from 1 species
GAGGUUGGAGUUCAGAAGCACACUAUUACCAUUGUCGCAUGAUCAUCGUCUACUAAAACUUGAGCUGACUGGCGACCCGGGGUAGAGCGGCGCCUUCUAAGAUCGGGGGGCCCUCUUCCGAGUCACUGAGCGGCCGCUCUACUAGCACAGCCGCGAGCGCUGCCGCCACCCGCAGUUGGACCCGGACUGGCACGACGAGCAGAGGCGGAUGAGCGAGGAGGCGGCGGCGGGCGGCAAGCAGAGGCACAUGCGGGGGGCGGCGGGGAUGCGCGGCGAGCUCAGGACCGAGCGGCGGCGCACCGCGGCGAGGCUCCUGCUGUAGGUACGGCGGCGCCCCGAGCUGCCGCAGCAGAAGCAGGCGUAAAAGCAGAAGUCGUAGUCCGAAAAGCGGCAUCAGCGACACCACCCGCAGCCGCACGAGUACGGCUAUUUGAAGUACCCCCUGGUCGACGUCGACUAGCUGAAGUGGCUGGACGGGUCGUUCAGGCAGCUACAGAACUCAUAGAGGUUACAGGUCCUGCCCAGGUUAUUUAAUACCGAAGUGAAGAGACGACACAUGUAGUAUUGACCUCAGCGUACGAUGGACGAGAUAAUACUCAUGUCUAUAUAAAGACCGUUCUCCGAGCUCAUAAAAUACUGUAGCUUCGGUGAUGGGGUCAUAAAGUGUCAAGACCAAGCUCGAUAGGGAUAUUGACUACCACCAAGACACUCACUACGACAACUAUUCAAGAAGUUUCUCAUAGUAAGUAGGUGGAUGAACAGUGUAUGACAACAAGUAGUUUGACCGUUUGAGGCGGCGGAAGAAUUACUCUGGCUUUAAUACACCUGUUUCGAUUUCUUGGAUUUUAUACAUGGUGUUGCUGGAAGACGACUGUUGGGAGGUUUUUUCAAAGAACCUGAUAAACCUUCUUUAUUAGGAUAACCCUUUAUAGUCUUUUCCGACCGUCUGGAUCUCCUUUUACAAUCUUACCUUGUUAGUCUACGAUGAUCCUCUGUCCUCUAAGGGCGACGAAAACAAAGUAAGUUUAGAGCUAUACGAAGUCGCUUACGUUAAAUGUAUUCCGUCAGUCUGUUAGGUUGACUCACCGUUUGACUCGUACGAGGACUAGGAGUACUACAAAUAACCGGAAGGAAAAGAUGUAGUAAGUACCUUGCCACCUAUAGGUUUAAACAUCAUAAACAUCGAAGUCAAGAAGAGUAUUAGCACAAAGAAGAUCAACACCCUAAAUAAGUUCCCGAGUGAAUAUACCUCGUUGAACUCCGUACCGACGGAAAGGACUCCUUGUAUGACCUUUAUCGGUAACAGUCAGUUAACCAAUGACCCAUAGAAGGGUCACAGUAAGAAGUGAAGGAAAGGAGAAUACACGGGAGUUAUUACUUCGAUAAAAGCUGGUACGUUCCUAAACACAGACAGUCACCCUAACUCUCUUCACGAACGUUGUUUUACGAAGCCAAAUGGUAUACCUGACACAAGAAACGUUUACAAGAAUGACCUAGUCGGAAUUUAGUUGAAUUGUAUAAGCAACUAGGUUUCUUUUAUGGACUUGCCGAACGCCAACAACAUGGACGUGUCCGUAGAAAGAAAUAACGUAUACACCACUGAAGCACCUGUUCAUAUUGUAGUCUUGAGUGAGUUUGAAGACGGGAAGACAUAGUGAACACCCCCUCGACGCGUUUCACAACGUUCUCCCUUCUGAGUCUUCGAGGUAGCUACGUGAUAGUAUCACUUUAAGGAGCCUAAGAGAACAAACCUGAAGAGCCCGAGUGCAUGAGGUAACAUCGAGGUGAAUAGGAGGGUAAACACAACUGAAUGAAGACGGAACCGAUGAAGUAUAAAGCGUUAGUCGAAACAUUACACAUACGUGGGUUCAUACUGUGGCCACCUUCUAAAACCGGGUAACACGUGUUACGUUGGUAUAAAAGAGAACACGACUACGUAAACUAAAGUUAGCCUCAUAAACCUCAUUUCCUUAAAGGUGAACCAAGUUCAGACGACCACGGAGACGGUUAAGAGUGUGAAGACAAGAUACGUAUGACACCUUUGGCUAAAAUGGGGUAGAAGCUUCGUAUGAGAUGGCUCAGUAACCAUUUGUUUCUAUAUGUUCUUGUUUCGUUUGGUCUCUACCGUCUCAAGAAGUCGUCGGAACUUUGUCGGAUGACACUGGGCCGUGACUUCGGAUAGGUCGCCAGAAGUUUGAGACUACUUGCAUGAAGUGGUGAGAACAGAAGACAGAUCUAGGUCUGUUCAGUAUCCACCGUAGGACCGAGGGUGCCACACUCUAAAAACAAACUAAAACCCGAAAACUACUAGUCCAUGUAUAUUGUCAUGUCCACACGAAGAACAACACAAAAAAAUGUGCCACUUCGUUUUGAAUCCUGUACUUAGGAACAUAAUAAUACAACAUGUAAAAAGAAAUCCUGUAUUUAAGAACAUAAUAACACAACAUAUAAAAAGAACCUCCUCAAACGACACGUAUUAAAACACAUAGUCUAAACCACGAGCGAAACAUCUCUACUUAUUAUGUAAAAGGGAAUUCAAAACCCAACCGUUACGUUUGACAAACUUGGCUGGUGCGUUCAACAUCUAGAAUUCAAGGUACGUUGGAUGAAUGACAGGGAAGAUUGAUACACAAAUACACCUACAACAAAAUGAGGUAUAUUAAGUCAUAUACUCUAAAAGACGGUGAACCUCGUUACACUAGUCCUCGACGACAAAAAGGAGGAAGUCAGGAAGAAUUCACGUAAAUUUAUACCGGCGAGACCCAUAUAAAUACUAUGAAGUUGCAGUUCCAACUCAAAGAGAUUUGUGUUUUCGGACGAUGCCACACCUUGGCUAGUACCACGCCGUAAGACGUGGGUAUAAGACAAUAAUGGGUCAAUAUGCGACUCCAGUCAACUGUUCGAGUAUGAUGAGACGUAAGUAUGACGUAAACUUUUACAGAACCGUAGCGUUUUGGUAUGAUGAAGUUGGACCGGUCCACAAUAAAAAAAGAGUUGCCGAGAGUCUACAUGGGUUGUUUCUAUACGACAGCAGUUUUACCGGGUUUCAUCGUUCUAAUACGCAAUGACGAAACAGAAUUGACUAUAGUCUAAGUUAUCUCAAACGGAACAGAACCUAGUUAAUACGAAGGUGGUAUUGGCUAAUGAGAUGACGAACCGGCUUGGGGUUUCUUGUUUAACACACUAACCAACCGGUGAACCUCUCUUAUGCCUCCACCGUGAGACUAUUAGACAGGACCCGUUAGAACACGGUAAACCGAUAGGAAAAUAGAACAAGUAUAUUUUACACAUCCAUGACGUCCUCCUAGAGAUCACGAUUAUACCGUUCGUUCUUCGGUACACUAUCACCAGCCACAUUUGGGUAUACUCUAACAAACGGUGAACCUCCGACCUCGACACACUAGUCCUCCUGGUCCAAAAAGAGGAAGUCAGGAAAAAAUUCACGUAAAUCUAGACCGGUGAGACUCAUAUAAAUACGAUGAAGCUGCAGUUCCGACUCAAAGAGAUUUGUCGGACGAUACCAUACCUUGGCUAGUACCACACCACAAGAUAGAUGCGGAUGUAACACGAUGAUGGGUCAAUAUGCGACUCCAGUCAGCUGUCGGCGUAUGAGAUGUAAGUGUGAUGUGACCGAGACUUUUACAGAACGGCGGUAUAGUUUUGGUAUGACCAGUUCGCGAGGAAGAAAAAAGUAGUAUAUACACCAUGUUAGUUGACUACGUUCGUAUAGAAACAACCCAUGUAAACUCUCUGUGUUUCCGCAGUUUUACUGGGUUUUAUUGUUAAGUCUAGUUGGCUCUUCCGACUUGCCCUCGUCCUAAUACGCAAUGACGAAACAGAAUUGACUAUAGUCUGAGUCAUCUCAAACGGAGCAGCACCUAGUUAAUACGAAGGAGGUACUGGCUAAUAACAUGACGAACCGACCUGGGGUUUCUUGUUUAAUACACUAACCAACCGACGGUGAACCUCUCUUGAGUUCCAUCGUGAGACCAUUGGAUAGAACCCGUUUAGAACACGGUAAACCGAGAGGACAGGAGACAGUAUAUUUUACACGUCCAUGACGUCCUGGGGAUUACGAUUACGAUUGAACCAUUCGGUUUGUCAGGCACAUUUGGUAACCGAUUGUCACCACGCGGUAAACAGGAGAAGUGCCCAUCUAACUUGUCACGAGGUACUGUGCGGAAGGAAACAUGGAUCAGUGACAGUAAAUGAGCAAUUUGGUAGUCGAGUGCAUAGGACCCAGUGUCUCGUGGUUUUCCGUAAGACUACACUGUGUUACUAUUAUAAAGGACUAGAGAUAAAGCACCGGUUUUGAGUACCUUAAGGGUCACGUCAACGUUCGAACUGGAACAGUUGGUAUAGUGUCUAUCCAUCUGGACUGGUCCUCAGGUCCUGUUUUUUCUACCGGUCGAUGUUUCCAGCUCUUCGAGUCAGGCGUCGACCCCGGUUUGGCGAUCUGCAAGUGUUCAACGUACAGGAUUAACACUGCUCCUGUAGUUCUCAUGACCGUAUACGGUGGUUUUAUGAGGAAUCUUGUAGUCUCCUACUAGAAGUUAAAAGUUAACAACACUCCCUCCGCGUAGCCUCCGUGGCAGCAGCAGUACGUACUGUUUUGCGCCUGCCCACCCUUGUUUUUGCUUAACUGUCGGCCUAAAUUAAAAUUGGGGGCGAUACCGACUAAUUCUUUGGCCAAUCCCCAGUUCUUAAAGUUGGGGAUCCCGACAACAAAACAAGACGAAUGCAGCAGCGAGAACCUGUGUCCGCAAUUUGAGGUACCGACGUCGAGUCGCACGAAACCCUUGACACUUUUGCCUUUAAACCUUUAGUACAUUUAUUUUUCGUGUGCGUGCAUCACUGAUGACUGAACCAGCACACAAUAAUACGUUCAAUUGAUCUAAGGAAAAUGCUUGUGGCGCAUCAUGUCUUAUCUGUAUAUAUCGCUGUGGUGGUGUGCGUGUAUGAGUGUGUGGCAGUUAACUACUGGAUACGUUCCUGUAUAUGGAGGAAAACUAGAUUUUAUUUUACAGAAUAUGAGGAAGGCAUUUCUAUAUAUCCGUCACUAUAUUUGCGAGAAUAUAAAAGAAUGCGAAUGCCUCCCUCAUUUGAAAAUGUCUCCCUCAUAAAAAAACGCCCUAUGUCUCCCUUAUGUACGAUCAGAAUCUUUUACACUGCCAGUUUAAACACAUUCAAACAGACAACUCGG